rnacentral:lncRNA from 1 species
GUUUGGUUUGCCAUCACUUUUUGUGACUUUUCUGACAUCUGCAAGUGUCGGAAGUGUGACCUGAAACAUUUAAGGACACUUCUGCCUGAACCAUGGGCAGAUGUUUAGACUCCAAGAUACAGAGGAGGAGGGUCUUGGAGGUUUCUUAGUAUAAGUUCCUCCCUGUGGUACUUGCAGUUCCUACAAGGGGCUGUCAGAGAAACAAGCCGGAGAAGAGCAAGACAUGGUCCUGGUGCAUGAAAGGAGCCUAAGAAAGAAGAGUGAAAGCUGCACGUGUGUGAGUAUCUAGCAGAACAUCUAGAAAAUGCACACCAACCUCCAGCAGCAGAAAACAGUCUACCUCCAGAAAGCCAUAAAAGAGAAAAGAAUGUUGUACCAAACUAAGCAAAUGAAGCAUGAAAUGAAAAGCCGGUUGAGCUGGGAGGUAUAAAGAAUGGAAAGGAAGCAGCUACCACCCCUGGUAACCCCAUCAAUCCGGAGAAGCUUCGCAGAGUUACACUGUGCUCUGUCGGGAAGGAAAUGAAUUUUCCUCAUUGUACACAUUCCGAGAAAAAUGAGGCUAAGACUAUUUCAAAGGAUGUUCUACCUAAUUCGAAUGGGCUUUAAGUGCCAUCUUCACAAUAGCGCCAGAGUCUGGUGUCAGCAAACUGAACAAAUAGAGCUACAGGGAGCGAAUGGGGCUGGGUGCCUCUCCAAAACAUAUGCAGAUGAACUUGAGAUUUCAGAGGACGGUUAAUCCUACACAGCAGUCAAGUGCCUUCCCAGGGAGCAUCCUGGCAGGCAUCCACUGUGCCAUAUGCUUUCGGGAAGUCUGGAUGCUGAAUGUGGUGGCUGUGGGGAAUUGAGCCUUAUUGCUUCAUAAGAUUCCUGGUGGUAGAACUAUUCUGAACAAGAACACGUCCGUCCCCAUAGGUGUGCUCCAAGAAUCACAGAAUAAGAAGGGACUUCGGAGAGAGCCUCACACAGUUGGGCAAUGGGAGCCCAGAGAGGCAAGGAAGGCUCCUUGCCCAAAGUCUUGUACAUCUGAAUCUGCAACUCCUGACUAUUUUUGAGUCUUAUGCUCCAGGCUAAAACUUGUGACUUUAAGUGUGAUGUUCUCGGUGAUGAUUAAUCUAGGAUGUUUCUGUUGUUUUCUUACCGUCAAAGAAUUAACAUCAAAAGGAAAGGAAGGAAGAAAUGUAGAAGUGAAGGCAAGAAGGAAGGAAGGAGGAAAGGAAGGAAGGAAAAUAUAGGCUUUGGGUAAAAAUAAGUUUCUACUCAACACUGACAAAGGUACAGGUUUUGGACAUUGGUUUCCUAAUCUGUAAAUGAGGAAUAGUCAUCACAUCGCUGUCCUGGCUGGUUUUGUGUGUCAACUUGACACAAGCUGGAGUUAUCACAGAGAAAGGAAAGAAAAUGCCUCCAUGAGAUCUAGCUGUAAAUGGAUUAGUGAUCAAGAGUGGGAGGGCCCAGUGUGGGUGGUGCCAUCCCUGGACUGGUGGUCCUGGGUUCUACAAGAAAACAAGCUGAGCAAGCCAGGGGAAGCAAGCCAGGGGAACAUCCCUCCACGGCUCUGCAUCAGCUCCUGCUUCCUGCCCUGUGUGAGUUCCAGUCCUGACUUCCUUUGGUGACGAACAGCAAUGUGAUAGUAUAAGCUGAAUAAACCCUUUCCUCCCCAAC